GGCUGGGUGGUUGGUGGGGUGGUGGUAGUGCGUGGGAGGGGUGGGUUGUGCGGAGGUAUGGGGGCUGGAUGGCUAGGCGGCGGUCUGUUACGGCGGGAGGAAAAACGCGGGGCUCAGCGCGGAGCCUGAGUCGGUGACGGGCAGACUAGAGGUAUGGAGGGGAGAACGGAAUUCCUGGUGUAGCGGUGAAAUGCGCAGAUAUCAGGAGGAACACCGGUGGCGAAGGCGGUUGUCUGGGCAUUACCUGACGCUGAGGAGCGAAAGUGUGGGGAGCGAACAGGAUUAGAUACCCUGGUAGUC
rnacentral:rRNA from 1 species